UACGGGGGGGGCAAGCGUUGUUCGGAAUUACUGGGCGUAAAGGGCUUGUAGGUGGCCAACUAAGUCAGACGUGAAAUCCCUCGGCUUAACCGGGGAACUGCGUCUGAUACUGGAUGGCUUGAGUGUGGGAGAGGGAUGCGGAAUUCCAGGUGUAGCGGUGAAAUGCGUAGAGAUCGGCAGGAACACCCAGGGGGAAACCAGUCGACUGGGCAUCUACUGACGCUGAGGUGCGAGAGCGUGGGGAGCGAACCGG
rnacentral:rRNA from 1 species